UUCACUUUGAAAUGAUUUAUUUCUUUGUAAAGCACUUUGAAUUAACUCUCUGUAUGAAAUGUGCAAUAUAAAUAAACUUGCCUUGCCAAAUGUAUAAUUAAUAUCCUGCUAUGUGCAGAAGUACAGAUAGUUUGUAUUUGUGGUGUAAACAGGAAGAAGAGAUUCACAACAGAACAGGAAACCUGGUGAGUUAAAGAUGCACGUGACAGACAGAAUACACUUUGUUUACUUUCACAAGUACAUCAGUCAUACAUACCCGCAUGUGGCCCUUUCUCAUCUCUACACUGGACAUCUAGUGAGUGCACAAGUGUGUGAUUGUCACUUCCUGACAUUAAAAGAAGAGCGAUCUCUCCAGUAAAGAUUUCCAGUGAUCUCAUACACAGAUGAUUAAUUUGUCUAAAGUGACACCGCUGGUUUCCAGAGAAAUAAAUCCUGAAUAAUGAUGAACACAAACCAGCAUCACAGUUGUGUCUCCUGUCGGGAACUUCAGUUCAAUGAAACCACAACAACAAAACAAACACAGACCUGGUGGUACCCAUAUAAACACCAGCAGUGUACAUUUAACCCUGCUGAUUUUGCUGCUUCAUUCAGAUACACUUUAACACUCUGCUCAUUAACAGAAAUGUGUUUUAUAAGCUGUAAAACAUAAGAAUUUUUAUACUGUAAUGCAAUCAGCAGAGGAAAAUUACAACAGUACUGCUCCCACCACCAUACUCCAUAAGGUGAUGAUGAAAAUCUGUCAGAAUUUACAGAGUGAUUGAUGUCACAUUCAUUUCAUCGUGUGUUUGUUCUGGAGUCCACUAUUUUAACAAACAGAGGGAAAGCUUUCUAAUGUAAUGUUUCUUGUUUUGUUUAUUUUAAGCUUUUCACAUGUGAGAAAUCUCAUGAAUUUCCUAAUGACAAACGAAUCAUGAACAUUCACUCACAUCUGUAUUUCCUCAAAUGUCAUGGUGCUAAACAUGACUAAAUGAACUUCUGAACAUCUAUGAAUUAGAGCUGUGUGACGGGUGAAGAUUAAGCAGCAGGAUGGCAGAUCUCAAUCACAGUCAUAUUUCUUUACAAAUUUUCUUCAAAUGAAACCUACAUUGUAAUGUUUUUUCUACUGUUGGUUUGGUUAAAGGCAUUGUUAUGUAAGGAAAAAGUAAGGAUGGACUGUUGAAUUAUUGUAAAAUAAUGUAAUAACCAAGAUGGUAAUGCUUCACAACUCUUUUACCACAGGAACCACAGACUUUGCUCUAGGUAAUCUAAGUAAAUUCACUACAUUGUGUUUUUGAAAACUCUGGAAAGUGUGUGUGUGUGUUGCGUGCGUGCCUGCCUGCGUGUGUGUGUUUGUGUGUGUGACACCGGCUGAAUCAUCAGUAAGAUUCACUUAAAUCGUUUAGCAGAUAAAUACAGACAUCAGAGGCACACAAACACUUAAUACUGCGCUCACGCAAACAUCUAUCUUAUUCUAAAAGCUUUUGUCAGAUUUAUUGAAUCAAUUUUUGCUGGUUGUCCAUCAGAAAUGUCCAGGUAAGAUAGCAUUUGUGUCUUUGUUGCUUUGGAGAGGGAGUACAACAUACUGAACUUACUAUAGAUAAAGUCAUUGUCACAGAGAAAUGAACUUACUAUAGAUAAAGUCAUUGUCACAGAGAAAUGCAUGAAACAAAUAUUGCUUUGAGAUUUGGGCUCUCUAGCAGUCCAUGGGCUUUGUAGCGAUUUGGCCGAUCAUGCGGUUUACUGCGAGAUGUUAGGAUCCGUGUUAUAUUAACAUUGGCACAGCACUCUCUGUGUUAUAUCAAUUAAUAAUUCAUUAAUGCCUGCUGCUCUGUUUUGUUUUAUUACAUGACAUUACGAUUGUAUUAAUAACCGGGGUUUAGAUAUGAAUAACGUUGUGUAAAUGAAGGGUUAUUGGCACAUAAUGUGAAAUGUGUUAAUGUUAAAUGAUAGGGUAUUUUAUAUAGUGUGUAUAAAUUUCAUUGUAUUUUCCUUUAACAUCAGUAUGUUGUAGUGUCUCUUUCCUCUGUUAUGGAUUGCAGCAACUGUAUUGUGUCAGAUGAAAACUGGCCCUCCCGCCUAAGCCUGGUUUUCUCACAAUGUUUUUUUUCACCCGUUGACUCUGUUGGUUGCUUACUGAGAGACUGCUGACAUUAACCUAACUUAGGACUUUCUAUUUGUACAUUACAUUAAUGCUGCUUUCAUUAUUAUGAUCCAAUUUCGAUCUUUCACUUUGUAUUAUUCUAGUAGGAAAUCAUUUUUAAUACCUCCAUGUAGUCAAUUUCUGGAUAAGAUUUAAAGAUAUAGUUUGGAAAUAAAUAAAAAUACUUAUAUGUAUACCUCUAUCCUAGAUGAUCAUUAUAUAGUUUGAUUUGAAUACUACAUAUUACAUUAUUUAACCCUUAUGGGUUGUUGAGGCCAUUUUGGUCAUUUUUAUUUUUUUAUGUCUUCAUGUGGCCACAACUUUCUCUGUGUUUCAGCAAAUGGAAUGAUUUUUGGUGACAAAUCUGAUAUCGGGGGCGGCAGUGGCUAAGUGGUUUAUGUAGGUUAUCUACAAACCGGAAGGUUGGUGGUUCAAUCCCGGCUCCACCUGACCAAGUGUCGAGGCGUCCUUAAGCAAGACAUCUAACCCCAGCUGCUCCGAUGAGCUGGAAGGCACCUUGCAUGGCUGACAUCGCAGUCGGUGUAUGAAUGGGAUGGCCAUAGGUCUGAUAAAAGCGCUAUAUAAAUGCAGUCCAUUUACCAUUGAUACAUAUUUUGAGAAAAUGCUUUGAAAUGUUAAAAAAAACCUCAACGAUAUACUGUGGCCAAAUGUACUACCCUUUCAGGUUGUUUGUGUACAAAAAAGCCACAAAAUUAAAUGGCUGUAAAAAUUGAUCAGAUUCAUAUUUUUUCAAAUAGUUUUUUCAUAAAUCUGUUAAUCACCCUCAGUACUGAUCAAAACGACCAAAUGCUUACAAACUUUCCAUGAUUUUAACUCUUUAAUUGCCAAGUUCAUAAGUGGUGUCACUGAUUUGAUGA